rnacentral:rRNA from 1 species
UACGGGGGGGGCAAGCGUUGUUCGGAAUUACUGGGCGUAAAGGGCUCGUAGGUGGCCAGCUAAGUCAGACGUGAAAUCCCCAGGCUCAACUUGGGAACUGCGUCUGAUACUGGAUGGCUUGAAUUCGGGAGAGGGAUGCAGAAUUCCAGGUGUAGCGGUGAAAUGCGCAGAUAUCAGGAAGAACACCCGUGGCGAAGGCGGCUCUCUGGGACGGUACUGACGCUGAGACGCGAAAGCGUGGGGAGCGAACAGG